rnacentral:lncRNA from 1 species
GCGAUGGCCCUCGACGCCCAAGAGGUGGGGCUUCGUAGCCUGGGCAUCCAAAUCUGAUGCCUGGGCCUUACAUGUCCCUCAAUUCACGCCCGAGCGGCCCCCCUACGACGCUUAAGCGAGAAUUCACGUGGAUCAGACCGUGUUUCUGCUCUGUUUUAAUUCUUUUGGACCAGGCCUCGCUCUGGCACGCCUCUGACACUAUUUGAAGGACCCUAGGGCUCUAGGUUUGACAUCCCUGGCAGAGAAGAGCAUAGCAAUACACUCUUAGCCUACUCUUAAUCUUCCAUUCUCAUUUUUUCUUCUAUUGUUCAUAGAGUUCCCCCACGUCUAUGGGGAACUAAUUUCUAUUUGUUGUUGGGGAAUGAUGUAACCUUGUAAAAUAUCACGUAUUUGAAUUGAUUCUUAAUUCCAUAUGUUUUUUCAUUAAUUGUUAGAGUAAUUCAUCUGUUUCUAUUCUUGCUUAUACAAUAACAUUAUUUAUGAAUUGCAUGAGUGCUGGGAGGUUCCUUUCAAUUCAGGUUCUUGUUGAAUUACUCCUAAGGGUUAUAUUGCUCAAGGAUGAGGGUAUGAGUCUUAGUCAUCUUAACCUCUUGAUCUUCAAAUCUUUUUACCAGGAAUGCUAAGAAUUAUAUGAACUGGUAAUUAGGGAUAGGCUUAUUUACCGAAGGAUCGGGUUUAAGUGAUUCAGUGAGGGACGUUGGCAUUAAUGCAUAAAGAAGAAUUCUUAUAUACAUGAGAGGGAACUUGGUGAAAUCUAACCCCAACAACAUAUCCAUCUCAUAUAAAUCAACCUCCGUUCAUAUUUUUGCUCCUUUGCCAUUGAUCAAUUGCAAUCUUUAUUUUAUUUAUUAUUUUUGCAUCCCAAACCCAUAAUCUCUUUUAUUUGAAGUCUUAAUUAAUCUUCUUUUCACACAACUGUUCAACACCGAAAGUCCUCUAGGAUACGAUACUUGGUCUUACCACUUUAUAUUACUUGUGCGACUCGGUACACUUGCUGAUUUGCCCCAACAAGUUUUUGACGCCGUUGCGAGGGACUCAUAGUUUAAGCUAUUCUAUUUGUGUGAUUCUUGAUUAAUUUUGACUUUUUUUUAUUUUUCCCAUUUUUAGUAACAGUACAUAUGUUGCUGCAUUACAUGUUCUUAUGUUUUACUGUUUGAUAAAUCUGCUGAACAUGUUUGAUGUACUGUGGUGUAUGUUCCUAUGCUAAUUGUUUGAUAUAUUUGUGAAACAUGCUUAUAUGCUUAUGUGCAAUGUGAAAUACUUUAUCAAAUAUAGGUUACUACACAUUUUGCAAAGUGAAAAAUGACAAGCACUUUUAUGAACUUAUAAUUGUGUGACAAAGUUAUAGUACAGUCGACUACAUUAGU